rnacentral:sRNA from 1 species
GUGUCGUCUAUCUGACCAUGCCUCCAGC